AACGAACGCUGGCGGCAGGCCUAACACAUGCGAGUCGAACGGCAGCACAGUGUGAGCUUGCGCACACGGGUGGCAAGUGGCGGAAGGGUGAGGAAUGCAUCGGAUACCACUUCUUCGGGGGGGCUAAUGCCGGGAAACUUACGCUAAUACAGCAUACGUCCUCCGGGUGAAAGCAGGGGAUCUUCGGGCCUUGUGCGAUUGAAUGAGCCGAUGUUGGAUUAGCUAGGUUGCGGGGUAGAGGCGCACAAAGGCGACGAUCCGUAGCUGGUCCGAGGGGGUGGUUCGCCAGAUUGUAACUGAGACACGGCCCACACUCCUACGGUAGGCAGCAGUGGGGAAUCUUGGACAAUGGAGGAAAGCCUGAUCCAGCAAUACCGCGUGGGUGAAGAAGGCGUUCGGCUGGUAAAGCCCUGUUGGUGGGAAAGAAAUGCAGCAGGUUAAUACCCCGCUGUACUGACGGUACCCGAAGAAUAAGCUCCGGCUAACUUCGUG
rnacentral:rRNA from 1 species